GAUGAACGCUGGCGGCGUGCCUAAUACAUGCAAGUCGAGCGAACGGACGAGAAGCUUGCUUCUCUGAUGUUAGCGGCGGACGGGUGAGUAACACGUGGAUAACCUACCUAUAAGACUGGGAUAACUUCGGGAAACCGGAGCUAAUACCGGAUAAUAUUUUGAACCGCAUGAUUCAAGAGUGAAAGACGGUCUUGCUGUCACUUAUAGAUGGAUCCGCGCUGCAUUAGCUAGUUGGUAAGGUAACGGCUUACCAAGGCAACGAUGCAUAGCCGACCUGAGAGGGUGAUCGGCCACACUGGAACUGAGACACGGUCCAGACUCCUACGGGAGGCAGCAGUAGGGAAUCUUCCGCAAUGGGCGAAAGCCUGACGGAGCAACGCCGCGUGAGUGAUGAAGGUCUUCGGAUCGUAAAACUCUGUUAUUAGGGAAGAACAUAUGUGUAAGUAACUGUGCACAUCUUGACGGUACCUAAUCAGAAAGCCACGGCUAACUACGUG
rnacentral:rRNA from 1 species